rnacentral:rRNA from 1 species
UACAGAGGGCUCAAGCGUUGUUCGGAUUCGUUGGGCGUAAAGGGCGCGUAGGCGGCGUAAUAAGUCAGUUGUGAAAUCUCCGGGCUUAACCCGGAGCGGCCAAGUGAUACUGGCGUGCUAGAGUGCGGAAGGGGCUACUGGAAUUCUCGGUGUAGCGGUGAAAUGCGUAGAUAUCGAGAGGAACACCUGCGGCGAAGGCGGGUAGCUGGGCCGACACUGACGCUGAGGCGCGAAAGCCAGGGGAGCGAACGGG